UUUUUAUUGGGCAUUAUUCUAGAAAUGCCCCAUCCCUUUUCAUUCCCCUAUAGGCUAUAAUGCCCAUAGGGGAUGGUAUAAGGGCAUUAUCAAAACCUUCACGCCCCUAUAAAGCCCCAUUAUAGGAAUUUAGGAAUUAGGCAUUUGGGCUUAUAUAUUAGGUAUUAGGCUUUGAGUAUUAUUGAGUUUUAUCAGGUGUGGCUCAACUUUGCUCGUUUACUAAAGCUUGUUAUUGCCCAAACAAUGAUGGCCGAUGGUGGUUGUUGUCGAAGGGUGUUGGUGAACCUGAUUUCGGAUGAUUGAGGAUUUGAUGAUGAAUAACCGUCUAAGAAAACGAAAUUGGGGAGUUUUAGAGGAGAAUCGUGAUCGUGAUUUUGAGUUUGCAUUUUUAUGAUUUGGUGUAGAGAAAAAUGGGAAGAAAGCAUCAGAUUUGGUGGGCAAUCCUACAUGUCAUAUCUCUAAAUUUAUUAUAGUCUGCAGGUGACUUUGAAGAUUAGUAACAGAGGUAAUAAGGUUCCUUUAGCAUGGAGAUGAAUAUAUUUGCCACCCUAUGUAAACCAGGUAAAAGUAGGGGAAAAAAGCUCCUGCUAAGGUAGCUGGCAAAGGCAAGGCUAAAGGUGGAAGAACCGUUGUCUAAUAUAAAUGAUCUCUUCAAGACAGUUACUGGUGAAACGCAGAUCACCAUAUUUGCGAUUUGCGAUAUAAAGAAGGCAGAACCCAUGACCCACGAUUGCUGGUCGGAGAUGAAGUUUUCCUCUAAAGCAUUCUAAACUCUACCGAGACUGUAGCAAGAGGAAGGGUCCAAAGCUUGGACCCAAAUGAUCUAAUUGGUGGUAUAGAGAUUGGACCAGAAUGGUGUGAGGUAAAUGUUCAAGUACCAAUAAAAAAAGAUGUAAACUUGGUAAGACCAUAUGGUUUAUUUUCUACAAUUCAAGAUUGUAUUGGUGCAUC
rnacentral:lncRNA from 1 species